rnacentral:rRNA from 1 species
GAUGAACGCUGGCGGCGUGCCUAAUACAUGCAAGUCGAGCGAAGCGGGGACGUGUGAGUAACACGUCGAUAACCUCCUAUAUGACUGGGAUUACUUCGGGAAACCUGAGCUAAUCUGGAAACUUAUAGAUGGAUCCCCGCUCCAUUAGCUAGUUGGUAAGGUAACGGCUUACCAAGUCAACGAUGCAUAGCCGACCUGAGAGGGGGAUCUGUCACACGGGAACUGAGACACGGUCCAGACUCCUACGGGAGGCAGCAGUAGGGAAUCUGCCGCAAUGGGCGAAAGCCUGACGGAGCAACGCAGCGUGAGUGAUGAAGGUCUUCGGAUCGUAAAACUCUGUUAUUAGGGAAGCGGUACCUAAUCAGAAAGCCACGGCUAACUACGUGCCAGCCGCCGCGGUAAUUC